UGAAACAAUACAAGAAUCGUUAUAUAUACCUCGCUGGAACCUUCCGCCACGGCAAGGUGUUGCUGCGGCUGUUGCUCUUCAUUCCCAUCGGUGGACAUGUUGAGGAACAUGUCCGCCUGGGUGCCCUCUUCAUCCGUGUACGAUAGUGGAACGUUGUCGCCACUACCAUCACCAGCGAUUAUCUGCUCCAUGAUAUACCUUGCAGUCUCAUCGUCUGCCAUUUCAACUAUUGAUUGAAACAUACAUGGAAUCAUACAUGACAGUCAUAGAAAUCGCCUUACUUAUAUGUAUAUAAUGAAAUCAUAAAAUAACAUGAAUCCUACAAAGUCCGGAAUAUUUAUACAAAUUUCUACAAAUUAGUAGUACUUUGUGACGAAUUUCUAGCAAUAACAUGAAUUUUUACGAAUUUCUAGCAAUAACAUGAAUUUUUACGAAUUUCUAGCAAUAACCACAGGCGGUGCCUAGGUUGUGACGGCGGCGGUCAGGGCGGCGGUACAGCGGAGGUGGGGACGGAACCACGGGCGGUUCCUACUAGGUUGUGACGGCGGUGGUCAGGGCGGCGGGACGGCGGAGGCGGGGACGGAACCACGACGAAACACGAUUCAUUUCUAACCUAGGCGGAGCGACGAACCUAAUUACUACUAAUUACUACUAAUUUACACUAAUUUGAUUUUUAAACACAUAUACAAAAAUCUAACUUAAAAAAAAAUCUAACUUAAAAAUCUAACUUAAAAAAAAUCUAACUUAAAAAUCGUCGACGGUGACCGGGGCGACGAGGUGGCCGAGGCGACGAGGUGGCCGGGUCAGCGGAACGGCGGCGGCCGAGGCGGCGAGGACGGC
rnacentral:lncRNA from 1 species